UGCUUUCCUUUCGGUGGCUGGGG
rnacentral:miRNA from 1 species